GACGUAGGGGGCAAGCGUUAUUCGGAAUCAUUGGGCGUAAAGCGCUCGUAGGCGGGACGGGAAGUCCGUGAAGAAAGACCUGGGCUCAACUCAGGGACCGGCACGGAUACUCUCGUUCUUGAGGCAAUCAGAGGGUGAUGGAAUUCCCGGUGUAGCGGUGAAAUGCGUAGAUAUCUGGAGGAAUACCGGUGGCGAAGGCGGCAUCCUGGACCGGCAUUGACGCUGAGUGAGCGAAAGCCAGGGGAGCAAAGCGGGG
rnacentral:rRNA from 1 species